rnacentral:rRNA from 1 species
CCUACGGGUGGCAGCAGUGGGGGAUAUUGGACAAUGGGGGAAACCCUGAUCCAGCGACGCCGCGUGAGUGAAGAAGUAUUUCGGUAUGUAAAGCUCUGUCAGCAGGGAAGAAAGAAAUGACGGUACCUGACCAAGAAGCCCCGGCUAACUACGUGCCAGCAGCCGCGGUACUACGUAGGGGGCAAGCGGUAUCCGGAAUUACUGGGUGUAAAGGGAGCGUAGACGGGGAUGCAAGUCUGGAGUGAAAGGCGGGGGGCCAACCCCCGGACUGCUCUGGAAACUGUGUAACUUGAGUGCAGGAGAGGUAAGCGGAAUUCCUAGUGUAGCGGUGAAAUGCGUAGAUAUUAGGAGGAACACCAGUGGCGAAGGCAGCUUACUGGACUGUAACUGACGUUGAGGCUCGAAAGCGUGGGGAGCAAACAGGAUUAGAUACCCGGGUAGUC